rnacentral:tRNA from 1 species
GGUGGCUCAGUGGUAAAGCACUUGCCUUGCAUGCAUGAAGCCCUGGGUACGAUUCCUCAGCACCA